rnacentral:rRNA from 1 species
CCCAGACUCCUACGGGAGGCAGCAGUGGGGGAUAUUGCACAAUGGGGGGAACCCUGAUGCAGCGACGCCGCGUGGGUGAAGGAGCGUUUCGGCGCGUAAAGCCCUCUCGGCAGGGAAGAAGGAGGACGGUACCUGACUAAGAAGCCCCGGCUAACUACGUGCCAGCAGCCGCGGUAAUACGUAGGGGGCAAGCGUUAUCCGGAUUUACUGGGUGUAAAGGGGGCGCAGACGGCAGCGCAAGCCAGGAGUGAAAGCCCGGGGCCCAACCCCGGGACUGCUCUUGGAACUGCGCGGCUGGAGUGCAGGAGGGGCAGGCGGAAUUCCUGGUGUAGCGGUGAAAUGCGUAGAUAUCAGGAGGAACACCGGUGGCGAAGGCGGCCUGCUGGACUGCGACUGACGUUGAGGCUCGAGAGCGUGGGGAGCAAACAGGAUUAGAUACCCUCGUACG